GAUGAACGCUGGCGGCGUGCCUAAUACAUGCAAGUCGAGCGAACGGACGAGAAGCUUGCUUCUCUGAUGUUAGCGGCGGACGGGUGAGUAACACGUGGAUAACCUACCUAUAAGACUGGGAUAACUUCGGGAAACCGUAGCUAAUACCGGAUAAUAUUUUGAACCGCAUGGUUCAAAAGUGAAAGACGGUCUUGCUGUCACUUAUAGAUGGAUCCGCGCUGCAUUAGCUAGUUGGUAAGGUAACGGCUUACCAAGGCAACGAUGCAUAGCCGACCUGAGAGGGUGAUCGGCCACACUGGAACUGAGACACGGUCCAGACUCCUACGGGAGGCAGCAGUAGGGAAUCUUCCGCAAUGGGCGAAAGCCUCACGGAGCAACGCCGCGUGAGUGAUGAAGGUCUUCGGAUCGUAAAACUCUGUUAUUAGGGAAGAACAUAUGUGUAAGUAACUGUGCACAUCUUGACGGUACCUAAUCAGAAAGCCACGGCUAACUACGUG
rnacentral:rRNA from 1 species